rnacentral:misc_RNA from 1 species
GCAAAUGGGACAGAUUUCAACCGAGAAUGUAUAUUUAUAAUUGUACUUGUUGCUCUUAGAAUCAUGGGAAACAAGCUGCCUAUCAUAGCGAGUCCUGAGUGGAACUACUUUACCUAUAAAUUCCACAAAUUUCAUAGCAUAACUCCUCUUAGCAAAGAAAAAAUCAAUACCUUCAUCUACCUGUUUGAUCUUUAUGGCAAGGACAGCAGCACCAUGCUUUAGAAUCAACUGUUCCAGAAAAAAGAAAGUUCUUCUGUGAGAAACAUGUUGACGGAGCUGAACAAC